rnacentral:tmRNA from 1 species
GGGGGUGACCGGUUUCUAUCGGCGCCUGUGGAAUCAUCUUUGCUUUUCGCACGAUGUCUGUAUCGGGCGUUAUCACCAAAACAGACAAAAUCUAAGUGCUAAAAACACUGUAACUGGACUUUCUCGUUUUAAGGCUCUUGCUUCUAAAACAUUCAGUCCUACUGUCUACGCCUAGUGCGAGCCAGUAGUCACUUUCCUUCGGGACGACAGAGCAAUUGCUCGUGACAACCUCAUAUAGGUGCAUAGAAGGCCUAUUUGUUGUACUAAUUCUUCUCUCGUAGAUCUGUGGCUGAUAGGCACACUUAUCUCCGUACUUCGUCUAUCAACCAUGUGUAAUUUUUGUUUGAUUUUCCCUACACUUGGUAUCAAAUCAAACUAUAAAAGUAGACGGGAUGGUACACACGCUGAGACAUGGGUUCGAUUCCCAUCACCUCCACCA